rnacentral:lncRNA from 1 species
GCUAUAAAAGAAAUUAUAUAGGAGUAUUUUCACAGAUAACCAACUAAUCUUCAAUAUCCAAGAAAUAAUAUUAAAAGGAGUUUUGUGAAAAUGACUGCACAUGUACCCCCUUGAUAAAUACUUCCUUAUCGAACAGUGUUAGGGUACCAAAGAAAGCUCAGAAAAAGGAAAGACAACCAAUAUGUAGCAAUUCUAUUGCUCGGAUUCUAGCUGUUACCAGCUUGAGCAAUAGGAAGGUCGCACACAGCUGUGUAUCUUCUGUAUGAGAGUCAUGUCAGAGAGCAUUGCUCAUAUGUUUCAGUAUCUAGUUUAAAAGCAAUUUUAUAUAUAAGAUUUUUACUUAUUUUUUACUCUUUGAUUUAAAUAUUCAAAAACUGAUCUUCAAAAGACUCUUGCUUGCACUUUAUACCAAAGACAACUUGAAGAACUUGAGCUUGCACCUACAACUGCCUUCACUUGAAUACUUCACAAGCUGAACUCUUAUUACUUUUUAUCGGCCAUAUUACAAUUCAAAAGGCUUUGCAUCCAGCACUUAUAGACCGUACACAAUAAAACAGGAAGG